rnacentral:lncRNA from 1 species
UGGUGGUGGGGAUUUGUAGUAGUAUGGUGGGGGUGGAGAGUGGACUGGUGGUGGUGGGGACUUGUAAUAGUAUGGUGGAGGUGGUGAGGGAGAAGGUGGUGGUGGAGACUUGUAGUAGUAUGGUGGUGGGGACUUGUAAUAGUAUGGUGGAGGAGAUGGCGAUGGUGGUGGAGGAGAUUUGUAGAUGUAUGGGGGCUCCUCUACGUGUUUUGGUGGUGGUGGGGACUUGUAAUAGUAUGGUGGAGGUGGUGAGGGAGAAGGUGGUGGUGGAGACUUGUAGUAGUAUGGUGGUGGUGGGGAAUGAACUGGUGGUGGUGGGGACUUGUAAUAGUAUGGUGGUGGAGGAGAUGGCGAUGGUGGUGGAGGAGAUUUGUAGAUGUAUGGGGGCUUCUCUACGUGUUUUGGUGGUGGUGGAGACUUGUAAUAGUAUGGUGGAGGUGGUGAGGGAGAAGGUGGUGGUGGAGACUUGUAGUAGUAUGGUGGGGGUGGGGAGUGGACUGGUGGUGGUGGAGACUUGUAGUAGUAUGGUGGUGGUGGAGAAUGAACUGGUGGUGGUGGGGACUUGUAAUAGUAUGGUGGUGGAGGAGAUGGCGAUGGUGGUGGAGGAGAUUUGUAGAUGUAUGGGGGCUCCUCUACAUGUUUCGGUGGUGGUGGGGACUUGUAGUAGUA